rnacentral:lncRNA from 1 species
UGAACAUCGACAAGGCGGAGGAGGAGAGCUAUUGGAGCAGAAUCAAGUACUACGACAUCCGGGGCAAAUUACUUGGUUUGGAAGAAGAACGAAAGGAAGGCGAGACCUGGGAAACCUCGCUCCUCUUUCGCUCCUAGCUGAGGUCACCAUCUGUUAAAGGUUACCUCGAUGGAAGCCAACAAUCUUCUCCAGCUGGAGCAGUUGGACGGUUGACCACUGAAAGCACUGACGCCCUACACUUCAAUGAAGCCCAAUAGACAAAGACCAUCAACUGUCCGAGCCACCCAGGAGGUAUCCUAUCCACCAGAACCAAUGAGUUCGGAUCAGUCCAAUUCUCUGUCUUCUGAGUUGAAGGGGGACCAGCUUGAGUUUCAGAGGGAGACUGCGAAGAUUAGGACUGGAGGCCGGUGGUGGCUAGUCCACUCCAGGAAGCUGAGGUGUGGGAGGUUCCUCUGCCCCCUCUGGACAUCGAGGGGGCCCCAGUGUAUGCUGUUCGAGCCAUCCUGGACUCGAGGCGUCGGGUGAGGGGCCUUCAGUACCUCGUGGAGUGGGAGGGGUACGGUCCGGAGGAGAGAUGCUGGGUGCCGGUGGAGGACGUCCUGGACCCUUCGUUGCUACAGGAUUUCUACCGUCUCCAUCUGGAUCGCCCGGCGCCUCGUCCUCCGGGUCAUCUCCGAGGUCGGUGUGGGCUUGCUGCUGGAGCCGUGCGUUAAGGGGGGGGUACUGUCACGACUUCCGUCGAAGUCGGUCCCUCUCCUUGUUUGGGCGGCGUUCGCGGUCGAUGUCACUGGCCUUCUAGCCAUCGCCGAUCCAGUUUUCAUUUUCCAUUUGUUUUGUCUUUGUCUUACACACCUGGUUUCAAUCCCCCAAUUACCUGUUCAUUAUUUAACCCUCAUGUUUGUUUGUGAGUGAUUGUUUCUUUGUAGGUAGGUCCGUUAUUGUGGGCUCUGUUUUUGUAUUGC